rnacentral:rRNA from 1 species
UACGUAGGGUCCAAGCGUUAUCCGGAAUCACUGGGCGUAAAGCGUGCGUAGGCGGCGUGUUAAGUGUGAUGUUAAAUCGUGUGGCUCAACCAUAUCGAUGCAUCACAUACUGGCAUGCUAGAGGAAGGCAGAGGCAAGUGGAAUUGGUAGUGUAGCAGUGAAAUGCGUAGAUAUUACCAGGAACACCAAUGGCGAAGGCAGCUUGCUGGGCCUUUUCUGACGCUGAGGUACGAAAGCGUGGGGAGCAAACAGG